GACGUAGGGCGCGAGCGUUGUCCGGAUUUAUUGGGCGUAAAGAGCUCGUAGGCGGCUUGUCACGUCGGAUGUGAAAUCCCGCGGCUCAACUGCGGGUCUGCAGUCGAUACGGGCAGGCUAGAGUUCGGUAGGGGAGACUGGAAUUCCUGGUGUAGCGGUGAAAUGCGCAGAUAUCAGGAGGAACACCGAUGGCGAAGGCAGGUCUCUGGGCCACUACUGACGCUGAGAAGCGAAAGCAUGGGGGAGCGAACAGG
rnacentral:rRNA from 1 species